rfam:Ovis aries breed Texel chromosome 10, whole genome shotgun sequence.
UCCCUGGUGGUCUAGUGGCUAAGACUGAGCUCCUAUUGCAGGGGGUCCAGGUUCAAUCCCUGGUCAGGGAA